rnacentral:rRNA from 1 species
AGCAGCCGCGGUAAUUCCAGCUCCAAUAGCGUAUAUUAAAGUUGUUGCAGUUAAAAAGCUCGUAGUUGAAUUUCGAGACCGGUUUACUGGUCGUGCUUUUGUACGUACUGGUAUUAUUGGUUUCUCCUUUCUGACGAAUCAUAAUGCCAUUAAUUUGGUGUUUUGGGGAAUCAGGACUGUUACUUUGAAAAAAUUAGAGUGUUUAAAGCAGGCUCACGCUUGAAUACAUUAGCAUGGAAUAACGAAAUAGGACGUUUGAUUUUAUUUUGUUGGUUUCUAGGAUCGACGUAAUGAUUAAUAGGGAUAGUUGGGGGCAUUAGUAUUCAAUUGUCAGAGGUGAAAUUCUUGGAUUUAUUGAAGACUAACUACUGCGAAAGCAUUUGCCAAGGAUGUUUUCAUUAAUCAAGAACGAAAGUUAGGGGAUCGAAGACGAUCAGAUACCGUCGUAGUCUUAACCAUAAACUAUGCCGACUAGGGAUCGGA